rnacentral:rRNA from 1 species
UGGGGAAUAUUGGGCAAUGGAGGCAACUCUGACCCAGCCAUGCCGCGUGGGUGACGAAGGUCUUCGGAUUGUAAAGCCCUUUCGGCGGGGACGAUGAUGACGGUACCCGCAGAAGAAGCCCCGGCUAACUUCGUGCCAGCAGCCGCGGUAAUACGAAGGGGGCUAGCGUUGUUCGGAAUUACUGGGCAUAAAGGGCGUGUAGGCGGCCCGCUAAGUCAGGUGUGAAAUUCCUGGGCUCAACCCAGGACGUGCUCUUGAGACUGACGGGCUUGAGUCCGGGAGAGGAUGGUGGAACUCCCAGUGUAGAGGUGAAAUUCGUAGAUAUUGGGAAGAACACCCGUGGCGAAGGCGGCCAUCUGGACCGGUACUGACGCUAAGGCGCGACAGCGUGGG